rnacentral:rRNA from 1 species
GUGCCAGCAGCCGCGGUAAUUCCAGCUCCAAUAGCGUAUAUUAAAGUUGUUGUGGUUAAAAAGCUCGUAGUUGAACCUUGGGCCUGGCUGGCCGGUCCGCCUCACCGCGUGCACUGGUCCGGCCGGGCCUUUCCCUCUGUGGAACCCCAUACCCUUCACUGGGCGUGGCGGGGAAACAGGACAUUUACUUUGAAAAAAUUAGAGUGCUCCAGGCAGGCCUAUGCUCGAAUACAUUAGCAUGGAAUAAUAAAAUAGGACGCGCGGUUCUAUUUUGUUGGUUUAUAGGACCGCCGUAAUGAUUAAUAGGGACAGUCGGGGGCAUCAGUAUUCAACUGUCAGAGGUGAAAUUCUUGGAUCAGUUGAAGACUAACUACUGCGAAAGCAUUUGCCAAGGAUGUUUUCAUUAAUCAGGAACGAAAGUUAGGGGAUCGAAGACGAUCAGAUACCGUCGUAGUCUUAACCAUAAACUAUGCCGACUAGGGAUCGGACGGUGUUAUUCAUGACCCGUUCGGCACCUUACGAGAAAUCAAAGUGCUUGGGCUCCAGGGGGAGUAUGGUCGCAAGGCUGAAACUUAAAGAAAUUGACGGAAGGGCACCACCAGGGGUGGAGCCUGCGGCUUAAUUUGACUCAACACGGGGAAACUCACCAGGUCCAGACACAAUUAAGGAUUGACAGAUUGAGAGCUCUUUUCUUGAUUUUGUGGGUGGUGUGCAUGGCCGUUCUUAGUUGGUGGGGUGACUUGUCUGCUUAAUUGCGAUACGAACGAGACCUUAUCUGCUAAAUAGCCCGCAUUGCUCCGGCAGUGCGCUGGCUUCUUAGAGGGACUUCCGGCUCCAAGCCGAA